CCGGUUUUUUGUGGUGGGACCUAAGGUACCGGAUGCACCAUCACCGCCGCCAUCACCGGAACUGGAGUACAUAUAGAUCGAUCUCAGCGCAGUGUCAUCACCGCCGCCACCUCCAACACUCAACAGCUGAGCUCUUCAACAAGUGUCGCACAUGAGGACGACGGCGCAUCGCUUCCAAGUCAUGGGUGGUACCCGAGAACGUUACUCGCUUUAGUCACGUCUUCAGAAGAGAAACCAUGCAAUGCCCUACAUAUGGUCACCAGCUACCCGAGGGGUCUUACAUUCGUACGCUUGUGGUGGGACGUCAGGAAGAACCACCGCCGCCCUAUACUGAAGCGGCCUCGCCAUCUUAUUCGGAGCAGCAGUGCGGUAGGAGUCGAGGGAGA